rnacentral:lncRNA from 1 species
UUUUGAUAAGUAAAAUUUGAAUUAUAAGGAGUACAUGGGGUACUCAACCCUUACAAUUCAAGAUUAAUCACAUUAAAUACAAUCAAAGCAAGCUAAUGGAUUAUUGCACCAUUCUGAAAAAACAACAUUAACAUCACUACCUCGGCCUAUGAACCAAAACCAAGAAAUAUAAAUAAUUUGGUCCACUAAAGUAGCUAUAUUAACAUGUUCACCUUUAAACAAUAUAUUAUUGCGCAUACACCAUAUGCUCCAUGUCGUCGCUAACCAAAUAACAUGUCGGAAUCCUUUGCUAAGUUUACCUAUUGCAAUGUCUCCAAACAAAAUAAAAUGUUGAUGGAUAUCUUCAAAAGAUAAGCAGUUUCUGUCCAUCCACCUAAAUAUGUUAUGCCACACUUGUUGAGUCACUUGACAAUUGAAAAAAAUAUGUUGAGAAUCCUCCACCUCCCUAAAGCAGAAAAU